rnacentral:rRNA from 1 species
UACGUAGGGAGCAAGCGUUGUCCGGAAUCAUUGGGCGUAAAGCGCGCGUAGGUGGCUUCGUAAGUCCGUUGUGAAAGUCAAAGGCUCAACCUUUGAAAGCCGAUGGAUACUGUGAAGCUAGAGUACGGAAGAGGCGAGUGGAAUUCCUGGUGUAGCGGUGAAAUGCGCAGAUAUCAGGAGGAACACCGAUUGCGAAGGCAGCUCGCUGGGACGUUACUGACGCUGAGACGCGAAAGCGUGUGGAGCAAACAGG